rnacentral:misc_RNA from 1 species
CCGAGUUUACAACUCCCAAACCCAAUGUGAACCAUUACCAAACUGUUGCCUCGGCGGGGUCACGCCCCGGGUGCGUAGAAGCCCCGGAACCAGGCGCCCGCCGGAGGGACCAACCAAACUCUCUCUGUAGUCCCCUCGCGGACGUAUUUCUUACAGCUCUGAGCAAAAAUUCAAAACGAAUCA